UCACACUACGCGGUAGCCCUAGAUUUGUUCACUCCCAUUAAGAUUGGUCUCAUCGUCCACUUCCGAUUCUCUACUAUCUACCAUCUAUCAUUCAAGCCUACAAACGGAGUUCCCGAAUCAGGCAUCGGCGGCAUCGGCGGCGUUGAGGCGUAGCAGGCUCUUCUUUCCGGCACAUGUAUAUUUCGCGAGUGUACUAUUCAUUACAAAAUUUAAUGGCAAACAACACCGAACAACAAAUUGUAGUCUUAGCGGUAUAUGAAGUGCUAUAGCAGCACCUUAUGAGAUGAUGAGGCAAAAAUGUUGAAGAUGGUGACCCGGAAGGAGAUGAUGAGGCUUUCAUGUCCGUGGAACAAAACAAGGCAUAUGCUAUGGUACCGUAUGAGGCUAACCAACAUGCCGAUCAGCCUUAGGAGGGAAUCGUGGAAGUUGAGUCCGAGGGUUACUAUACCGACGAGACGUAGGGGUUCCUGGGUAUUACGGAAGUCGACCUAUUCCAUCGUUCAAUAAGUGUUUGCCGUUGCUUUGAUAUUAACUUCCUUUGAAGUUUGAAUUAUGUUUUCUAUCUUGUUUCGUACUAGUGUUUCAUGUUUUCAUAGUAUUUGUAUUUCUAUUAUAAAUUUGGUGAAAUUAAUCCAACAAGUCCAUAAGUUUGACAACAA